AUACGGAGGGUGCAAGCGUUGUUCGGAAUCACUGGGCGUAAAGGGCGCGCAGGCGGUUUGGUAAGUCAGAUGUGAAAGCCCACGGCUCAACCGUGGAAGUGCAUUUGAAACUGUCAGACUUGAGUACUAGAGGGGAAAGUGGAAUUCCCGGUGUAGAGGUGUAAUUCGUAGAUAUCGGGAGGAAUACCGGUGGCGAAGGCGACUUUCUGGCUAGAUACUGACGCUGAGGCGCGAAAGCGUGGGGAGCAAACAGGAUUAGAAACCCUAGUAGUCC
rnacentral:rRNA from 1 species